AUUGAACGCUGGCGGCGUGCCUAACACAUGCAAGUCGAGCGGUAACAGGUGUAGCAAUACAUGCUGACGAGCGGCGGACGGGUGAGUAACGCUUGGGAAUCUGCCUGUUAGUGGGGGACAACCCGGGGAAACUCGGGCUAAUACCGCAUACGCACUACGGUGGAAAGCCGGGGACCGCAAGGCCUGGCGCUAACAGAUGAGCCCAAGUCGGAUUAGCUAGUUGGUAGGGUAACGGCCUACCAAGGCGACGAUCCGUAACUGGUCUGAGAGGACGACCAGUCACACCGGAACUGAGACACGGUCCGGACUCCUACGGGAGGCAGCAGUGGGGAAUAUUGGACAAUGGGCGAAAGCCUGAUCCAGCGACGCCGCGUGGGUGAAGAAGGCCUGCGGGUUGUAAAGCCCUUUCGGUGGGGAAGAAAGCCUCGAGUUAACACCUCGGGGUCUUGACGUAACCCAUAGAAGAAGCACCGGCUAACUCUGUGCCA
rnacentral:rRNA from 1 species